rnacentral:rRNA from 1 species
AUACGUAGGUGACAAGCGUUAUCCGGAUUUACUGGGCGUAAAGGGCGUGUAGGCGGUCUUGCAAGUCAGAAGUGAAAUUCCUGAGCUCAACUCGGGCGCUGCUUCUGAAACUGCAGGACUUGAGUGCUGGAGGGGAUAGCGGAAUUCCUAGUGGAGCGGUAAAAUGCGCAGAUAUUAGGAAGAACACCGGUGGCGAAGGCGGCUAGCUGGACAGUAACUGACGCUGAGGCGCGAAAGCGUGGGGAGCAAACAGGAUUAGAUACCCUGGUAGUCCACGCUGUAAACGAUGAAUACUAGGUGUGGGGGGACUGACCCCUUCCGUGCCGCAGUUAACACAAUAAGUAUUCCACCUGGGGAGUACGGCCGCAAGGUUGAAACUCAAAUGAAUUGACGGGG